UGGCCAGCUGAUGAUUANGCCGCGUGGAGGAUGAAGGUCUUCGGAUUGUAAACUCCUGUUGCUCGGGAAGAAAAGCUUCGACCUAACACGUCGAGGUCUGACGGUACCGGGUGAGGAAGCCCCGGCUAACUCUGUGCCAGCAGCCGCGGUAAUACAGAGGGGGCAAGCGUUGUUCGGAAUUACUGGGCGUAAAGGGCGCGUAGGCGGCCUGCUAAGUCGAACGUGAAAUCCCCGGGCUCAACCCGGGAACUGCGUCCGAUACUGGUAGGCUUGAAUCCGGGAGAGGGAUGCGGAAUUCCAGGUGUAGCGGUGAAAUGCGUAGAUAUCUGGAGGAACACCGGUGGCGAAGGCGGCAUCCUGGACCGGCACUGACGCUGAGGCGCGAAAGCUAGGGUAGCAAACGGGAUUAGAUACCCCGGGUAGUCCUAGCCCUAAACGAUGAAUGCUUGGUGUGGCGGGUAUCGAUCCCUGCCGUGCCUAAGCUAACGCAUUAAGCAUUCCGCCUGGGGAGUACGGUCGCAAGGCUGAAACUCAAAGGAAUUUGACGGGGGCCCGUACAAGCGGUGGAGCAUGUUGGAUUAAGUCGAAGCAACGCGAAGAU
rnacentral:rRNA from 1 species